rnacentral:tRNA from 1 species
GGUGGCUCAGUGGUAGAGUGCUUGUCUCGCAUGCAUGAGGCUCUGGGUUUGAUUCCUCAGCACCA